GGCCAUUUCUUCGUAGACAUCCGAUAAAAUUGGAACGAUAUAAAGAAGAUUCACGUUGCCCUACGCAAGGAUGACACACACAAAUUGAGAAAUGGUCUAAAUUUUU